rnacentral:rRNA from 1 species
AGCUCCAAUAGCGUAUAUUAAAGUUGUUGCAGUUAAAAAGCUCGUAGUUGGAUUUGUGGCAUGCCGCAUGGUCCGAUUGUCGGUACCGAUGCGGUGUGCCAUCCUUGGGUGGAGCCAGUGGGGCAUUAGGUUGUCGUGCUGGGGAUGCCCAUCGUUUACUGUGAAAAAAUCAGCGCGUUCAAAGCAGGCUUACGCCGUUGAAUGUAUUAGCAUGGAAUAAUAAGAUAGGACCUUGGUACUAUUUUGUUGGUUUGCGCACCGAGGUAAUGAUUAAUAGGGACAGUUGGGGGUAUUCGUAUUCCAUUGUCAGAGGUGAAAUUCUUGGAUUUCUGGAAGACGAACUACCGCGAAAGCAUUUACCAAGGAUGUUU